UACGUAGGUGACAAGCGUUGUCCGGAUUUACUGGGCGUAAAGAGCGCGCAGGCGGUCGUUCAAGUCGAGGGUGAAAGCCCCCGGCUCAACUGGGGAGGGUCACUCGAUACUGAUCGACUCGAAGGCAGGAGAGGGAAGUGGAAUUCCCGGUGUAGUGGUGAAAUGCGUAGAUAUCGGGAGGAACACCAGUGGCGAAGGCGACUUCCUGGCCUGUUCUUGACGCUGAGGCGCGAAAGCUAGGGGAGCAAACGGG
rnacentral:rRNA from 1 species